GAUGAACGCUAGCGGGAGGCUUAACACAUGCAAGUCGAGGGGCAGCAUAGGGUAGCAAUACUCUGAUGGCGACCGGCAAACGGGUGAGUAACGCGUAUGCAACCUACCCUGUACAGGGGGAUAACCCGGAGAAAUUCGGACUAAUAUCCCGUAAUAAUAUCCGGAGGCAUCUUUGGAUAUUUAAAGUUUCGACGGUACGGGAUGGGCAUGCGUAACAUUAGCUGGUUGGUAAGGUAACGGCUUACCAAGGCUAUGAUGUUUAGGGGUCCUGAGAGGGUGGUCCCCCACACUGGUACUGAGACACGGACCAGACUCCUACGGGAGGCAGCAGUGAGGAAUAUUGGUCAAUGGGCGCAAGCCUGAACCAGCCAUCCCGCGUGCAGGAAGACGGCCCUAUGGGUUGUAAACUGCUUUUCCAGGGAGAGAAACUUACGCACGUGUUGCGUGACUGACGGUACCCUGGGAAUAAGCAUCGGCUAACUCCGUGCCAGCAGCCGCGGUAAUCUCGUCCCUA
rnacentral:rRNA from 1 species